GUGAACGCUAGCGGUGCGCCUAACACAUGCAAGUCGAGUGGGUUCAGACCCACGGCAAACGGCUGCGUAACACGUUGGAAUCUGCCCCGAACUCAGGGAUAACCCGCCGAAAGGCGGGCUAAUACCGGAUGCCCCCGCAAGGGGAAAGAUUUUUCGGUUCGGGAGGAGCCUGCGGCCUAUCAGAUAGUUGGUGGGGUAACGGCCUACCAAGUCGAUGACGGGUAGCUGGAUUGAGAGAUCGACCAGCCAGAAUGGAACUGCGACACGGUCCAUACUCCUACGGGAGGCAGCAGUGAGGAAUCUUCCGCAAUGGGCGAAAGCCUGACGGAGCGACACCGCGUGAAGGAUGAAACCCUUUUGGGCGUAAACUUCUGUUCUGAGGGACGAAAUUUUUGACGGUACCUCAGGAGAAAGCACCGGCUAAUUCUGU
rnacentral:rRNA from 1 species